AACUUUGCACAGUGGCAGUAUUCUAGCCAACAAGGUUUAUCUGAGGCACAGUUAUUGCUAAUUAAAAACCUCCUGGUGUCUGCCAUGACAACUUGAAAUAUAGUCAGCAUUGGCAAUUUUUGACAAUCUAUUAGAGA